rnacentral:lncRNA from 1 species
CUCUCACACAAUGCUCAAGCCUCUCUCUUCCCUCAUCUGCUGGCUGUAUGUCAAUGCAGGAUGAACUGGAAAGGCGUUUGUUGAAGACAGCGGAGCAUCUGUCAGGCUGUUUCUGAAAGACUGUGGAGCAGAAUACCCUGAAUUUCCACUGCCUCUAAUUGAUAUUAUGUGAGUGAGAGACAAAAUUCUAAUAUGUUAAGCUAUUGAGAUUUGGGGGGUGGUUAUUUCUUUUAGUACUAGCAUACUUUUAAUUAAUAGGAAUAUUGGCUUUGGAAAUGAGGUACAGCUCUCUAAUGAAAAGCUAAAAUAUGUGGAAUUGGCAUGACCGGUAAGGAAACUGUAUCAGACGAUGGGAAGACGGAGACCCACAUAAUACAGCGGUAAAAUAUGUGUUAAAACCGCCACUGGAGACAGCGUGAGGGCAGAUCAAGCCCUCACUGAGCCUGUAGCUCUAGGGGAAGAGAUUGGAAACCGAAUUUUGAGUUGUGUGUUGGUUGUACUGAUUUCAAUUAGGAAGAUAUUUAAAGGAAAAAAAAUGAGUCAGUAAGUAACCGGAUGAUUUUCAAGCAGAAAUAAAAACAAAUACAGAGAGAGAAGAAAUUUGGGGCAUCUAAGAGUUGGAAAAACUAACUGCUUCUAGACCUCAAACAAUAGGAAAAAAGAUUGAAAAUGCCUUUAAGUGAUGGCCCUGUGACAAACACCAGAUUAAGGGCAUAGUCUUUCCCAAGACUCUCAUACUCCUGCAUGACCUCAAGGAUGCUGGCGUUAAGCUGUGUGUAUGUAAGAAAGGCGUGAGGGUGAGGAAGCACGCAAAGAAAUCAAGAUUAAUAAUUAUGUUUAGGAAAGAACUGUGGGUGGGGUUCCUGGCAUGUGGAAGUAAAUGGAUCAGAAGCCUACUAAGUAAAAACAUAUUGCCAAAGAAAUCACAGGCCUGGACUGAAAAAGCCUUUGACUGCUUGAGCCUUAAAAGCAUCCUUGGACCCCCAAACUUGCAAGAUCAAGAAAUGGGCUGAAAAAGCUGCUCAGUCUCCCUGGAGGAAGUCUCCACUCCCACUGCAAACAUGACCAAGAAGCAGAGGGACCAGGACAGGCCUCCCAGAGGGCAAAGCAACAACCAUGGGGAAAAACGGAGAGAGAGGCUUCUUGCCGAAAGCAGAAUCAUGGUCAAGUACACCAGGAACUUCAAAAAGGGAGCGACCCAGGCAUUUCUCACUCGGAGAUGCCCUGCACUGGAAUGUGCUGUGUGCUCAGCCUCACCCUCCUCUGAAUCAUCGCCUCCAGUUGGCACUUUACGCCUCUGGCCACCUUCUGUCUCCUAGCAUCGUUCUUUAUGCAGCUGUCUUAUCUGUCUCACAGGACUGUGAGCUUAAUUCCCAAUGGUCAUCCCCGCCAUCGCCAUCGUAAAGUACCUAGUCUGUUUUCUACGUGUGAAACCAUUUGAGUCUUUCGUACUAUUUGUUGCAGAU